CAUCUUUGGAGAGUUUGAUCCUGGCUCAGGACGAACGCUGGCGGCGUGCUUAACACAUGCAAGUCGAGCGGUAAGGCCCUUCGGGGUACACGAGCGGCGAACGGGUGAGUAACACGUGGGUAAUCUGCCCCAUACUCUGGGAUAAGCCCGGGAAACUGGGUCUAAUACCGGAUAUGACCCUGCACCGCAUGGUGUGG
rnacentral:rRNA from 1 species